rnacentral:rRNA from 1 species
AUCGAUGAAGAACGCAGCGAAAUGCGAUAAGUAAUGUGAAUUGCAGAAUUCAGUGAAUCAUCGAAUCUUUGAACGCACAUUGCGCCCCCUGGUAUUCCGGGGGGCAUGCCUGUUCGAGCGUCAUUACACCACUCAAGCCUGGCUUGGUCUUGGGCGACGGGCUCCGACCCGCGCCCCAAUGUCUCCGGCUGGACGACCCCGAUCUCAGCGUUGUGACCCACAAAGUCGCUGGCGGGAGGGAGCGUCCGCACGCCGUUAAACCCCCCAUUUUUACAGGUUGACCUCGGAUCAGGUAGGGAUACCCGCUGAACUUAAGCAUAUCAAUAAGCGGAGGAAAAGAAACCAACAGGGAUUGCCCUAGUAACGGCGAGUGAAGCGGCAACAGCUCAAAUUUGAAAUCUGGCGCAAGCCCGAGUUGUAAUUUGUAGAGGAUGCUUCUGGGCAGCGGCCGGUCUAAGUUCCUUGGAACAGGACGUCACAGAGGGUGAGAAUCCCGUACGUGACCGGCUGGCACCCUCCACGUAGCUCCUUCGACGAGUCGAGUUGUUUGGGAAUGCAGCUCUAAAUGGGUGGUAAAUUUCAUCUAAAGCUAAAUACCGGCCAGAGACCGAUAGCGCACAAGUAGAGUGAUCGAAAGAUGAAAAGCACUUUGGAAAGAGAGUUAAAAAGCACGUGAAAUUGUUGAAAGGGAAGCGCUUGCAACCAGACUUGUCGGCGGCGUUCCGCCGGUCUUCUGACCGGUCUACUCGCCGCCGCCAGGCCAGCAUCGUCUGGGGCCGCCGGAGAAAGGCGGGGGGAAUGUGGCUCCCUCGGGAGUGUUAUAGCCCUCCGCACAAUACGGCGCGCGCCGGGCGAGGUCCGCGCUUCGGCAUGGAUGCUGGCGUAAUGGUCGUAAGCGGCCCGUCUUGAAACACGG